rnacentral:rRNA from 1 species
UACGUAGGGUGCAAGCGUUGUCCGGAAUUAUUGGGCGUAAAGAGCUCGUAGGCGGUCUGUCGCGUCUGCUGUGAAAACUCAGGGCUUAACCCUGAGCUUGCAGUGGGUACGGGCAGACUAGAGUGCGGUAGGGGAGACUGGAAUUCCUGGUGUAGCGGUGAAAUGCGCAGAUAUCAGGAGGAACACCGAUGGCGAAGGCAGGUCUCUGGGCCGAAUACUGACGCUGGAGGAGCGAAAGCCGUGGGGAGCGAACAGG